rfam:Oryza sativa Japonica Group DNA, chromosome 2, cultivar: Nipponbare, complete sequence.
AAAAAGGCAAACUAUAGGUCUCCGUGUCCAACUUUGACUGUCCGUCUUAUAUGGAAUUUUUUUAUAAUUCGUAUUUUCAUUAUUGUUAGAUGAUAAAACAUGAUUAAUAUUUUAUGCGUGACUUGUCUUUUAAAUUUUUUUUAUAAUUUUUUUAAAUAAGACGAACGGUUAAAUGUUGGGCACGGAAACCAGGGUUUGUCUUCUU